rnacentral:rRNA from 1 species
UAACCACUGGAAAACGUGGCUAAUACCGCAUAACGUCGCAAGACCAAAUGGGGGACCUUCGGGCCUCACACCAUCGGAUGAACCCAGAUGGGAUUAGCUAGUAGUGGGUAACGGCUCACCUAGGCGACGAUCCCUAGCUGGUCUGAGAGGAUGACCAGCCACACUGGAACUGAGACACGGUCCAGACUCCUACGGGAGGCAGCAGUGGGGAAUAUUGCACAAUGGGCGCAAGCCUGAUGCAGCCAUGCCGCGUGUAUGAAGAAGGCCUUCGGGUUGUAAAGUACUUUCAGCGGGGAGGAAGGGGACGAGGUUAACAGCCUCGUUCAUUGACGUUACCCGCAGAAGAAGCACCGGCUAACUCCGUGC